UUCCAGAAAAAGUGAUCUUGUUUCUGAUGUUUUGGUUUCCUGGCAGACAUUCUACACAGGCUUGCCCAAAGGCAGAAGGAAGGCUCGCACAGGUGCGCACACAGAAAUCAUGGGGCUGCCAUAGAGGCUGUCAAUGAGCAUUAACCUUGAAUGUACAGACAGGAGCGAAGUGGAGCUGUCCAUGGGCCGUGCACAGUUGCAUAAGCAGGCUUGCAACACCUAUGACAAUUAUGUUCCUGAAUACAUCUCCCAAAGUGGCAUUUAAACAAUCAUGUAGUAGUUUAUUUUAUUGUUUAUUUGGCAUGAAGCAGCAGACACUGGAGGC
rnacentral:lncRNA from 1 species